rnacentral:lncRNA from 1 species
UUUGGUUAGCAUGCAAGCCCCAUAGGAAACAUUUUUUAAAUGAGUGGUUGGAGAAAAUGUUGGAGAAAAAUUACCAGCAAAGUUGGCUGGGGCCAUAAGGCUAGACUGCUGCUUAGACUCUGCAAGUUGUGUCUGUUGAAGCAGCAACAUAAGCUGGGAAUAUUGAUCUUUGCUUAAACCAGGUAUUAGAGACUCUGAAUCAGAAACCCCUUGAGAAUUGUCAGCACUA